AUUGAACGCUGGCGGCAUGCCUUACACAUGCAAGUCGAACGGUAACAGGUCUUCGGAUGCUGACGAGUGGCGAACGGGUGAGUAAUACAUCGGAACGUGCCUAGUAGUGGGGGAUAACUACUCGAAAGAGUGGCUAAUACCGCAUGAGAUCUACGGAUGAAAGCAGGGGAUCGCAAGACCUUGUGCUACUAGAGCGGCCGAUGGCAGAUUAGGUAGUUGGUGGGAUAAAAGCUUACCAAGCCGACGAGCUGUAGCUGGUCUGAGAGGACGAUCAGCCACACUGGGACUGAGACACGGCCCAGACUCCUACGGGGGGCAGCAGUGGGGAAUUUUGGACAAUGGGCGGAAGCCUGAUCCAGCAAUGCCGCGUGCAGGAUGAAGGCCUUCGGGUUGUAAACUGCUUUUGUACGGAACGAAAAGCCCCGGGUUAAUACCCUGGGGUCAUGACGGUACCGUAAGAAUAAGCACCGGCUAACUACGUGCCAGCCGCCGCCGUAA
rnacentral:rRNA from 1 species